rnacentral:lncRNA from 1 species
CUCCCCACCCUCCUCAACACGCCCGUUCCUCCUCUGUGUUCCCAUUUCUCUUCCUCUCCCACCCAAACUCAUCACUUCUUCACACUCGCCAUUAACCUUCAACUUCUCACCAACUCUUUUCUCGUUCGAUCUUCUCAGCGGAGAAACAGCAGGGAGGUUCGAGCGCGGUCGUGAUUGCGGUGGUGGUGUGCGUUCUGCUGCUUCUCCUCCUGGUGGCUCUGCUCUUCUUCCUUAGUAAGAAGGGCAAGCUGAGCUGUGGGAAAAAGGACAAGAAGGAUGUGGCAUCUGGAGAGGUGAAAGGUGGUAUUGUGGUGGAGAUGAAGUCCAGUGAUAAAGGCAAUGAAGAGGCUGGUCUGCUAAACAAACCACAUGCAGAACAGUGAUACAAAAACGAAGAAGAAAAGAUACAAGUAAGAACAAGAUCUCCAGAGACGUAGAGGAUGGUGGUGAAUUAAGAGUGCUCUGAUGGAGGAGAAGAGAGGAGAAGAGAGGAAAGAGAAGAUGAAUUCAUUUUAGCUGUACAGUUUUCUUUUUGAAAGAUUGUGGGAGGGGCUAUGAUGUUGAACUGACGGUGGGUUUCAGUUUAGAAGUGGGAGGGGCAAUAAAUGUAAAUCUGGCAUUUUUUUGAUAU